rnacentral:rRNA from 1 species
UGGGGAAUAUUGCACAAUGGGCGCAAGCCUGAUGCAGCAACGCCGCGUGAGGGAUGACGGCCUUCGGGUUGUAAACCUCUUUUAGUAGGGAAGAAGCGAAAGUGACGGUACCUGCAGAAAAAGCACCGGCUAACUACGUGCCAGCAGCCGCGGUAAUACGUAGGGUGCAAGCGUUGUCCGGAAUUAUUGGGCGUAAAGAGCUCGUAGGCGGUUUGUCGCGUCUGCUGUGAAAUCCCGAGGCUCAACCUCGGGCCUGCAGUGGGUACGGGCAAACUAGAGUGUGGUAGGGGAGAUUGGAACUCCUGGUGUAGCGGUGGAAUGCGCAGAUAUCAGGAAGAACACCGAUGGCGAAGGCAGAUCUCUGGGCCAUUACUGACGCUGAGGAGCGAAAGCGUGGGGA